rnacentral:piRNA from 1 species
GAGAAUGUGAUACUGCUGUCUGAGG